rnacentral:rRNA from 1 species
AACGGAAAGGCCCUGCUUGCAGGGUACUCGAGUGGCGAACGGGUGAGUAACACGUGGGUGAUCUGCCCUGCACUUCGGGAUAAGCUUGGGAAACUGGGUCUAAUACCGGAUAGGAGCCAUCUUUAGUGUGGUGGUUGGAAAGUUUUUUCGGUGUAGGAUGAGCUCGCGGCCUAUCAGCUUGUUGGUGGGGUAAUGGCCUACCAAGGCGGCGACGGGUAGCCGGCCUGAGAGGGUGUACGGCCACAUUGGGACUGAGAUACGGCCCAGACUCCUACGGGAGGCAGCAGUGGGGAAUAUUGCACAAUGGGCGCAAGCCUGAUGCAGCGACGCCGCGUGGGGGAUGAAGGCCUUCGGGUUGUAAACUCCUUUCGCUAGGGACGAAGCUUUUUGUGACGGUACCUAGAUAAGAAGCACCGGCUAACUACGUGCCAGCAGCCGCGGUAAUACGUAGGGUGCGAGCGUUGUCCGGAAUUACUGGGCGUAAAGGGCUCGUAGGUGGUUUGUCGCGUCGUCUGUGAAAUUCUGGGGCUUAACUCCGGGCGUGCAGGCGAUACGGGCAUAACUUGAGUGCUGUAGGGGUAACUGGAAUUCCUGGUGUAGCGGUGAAAUGCGCAGAUAUCAGGAGGAACACCGAUGGCGAAGGCAGGU